CCUACGUGAGGCAGCAGUGAGGAAUAUUGGUCAAUGGCCGCAAGGCUGAACCAGCCAAGUCGCGUGAAGGACGAAGGUGCCAAGCAUUGUAAACCUCUUUUGUCAAGGGACAAAAUCCGCCUCGCGUGCCUGACCGAGGGUACUCGAAGAAAAAGCAUCGGCUGACUCCGUGCCAGCAGCCGCGGUAAUACGGAGGGUGCGAGCGUUAUCCGGAUUUAUUGGGUUUAAAGGGUGCGUAGGCGGACUGUUAAGUCAGCGGUAAAAACCCGGGGCUCAACCAUGUUACUGCUCUGGAAACUGUUGAGCUUGAGUGCGCGAGGAGCAUGCGGAAUGCGUAGUGUAGCGGUGAAAUGCAUAGAUAGUAGGAAGAACACCGGCGGCGAAGGCGGCCUGCUGGAGCUUAACUGACGUUGAGGCUCGAAAGCGUGGGGAGCGAACAGGAUUAGAUACCCGUGUAGUC
rnacentral:rRNA from 1 species